UCAAGGUUUUUGUAGUUUUUUUUAAUUUUCUGAUAAUUGUUUUAUUUGUAUUUUGUGUCGGUUGGUUCGCUCAUGGGCCCCACUAGGCUGUUACUGAGUUGUUAUGGUUUGUUUCUCUGUUAGGCUUGUAUCGGGCCUCCUGCCUUUUUAAUAAAAGUGUUCUGUGAGUUUGUUAGAUCCCAAUUCCACUUCACUCUUCACUCAAACUGUUCCUCUUCUAUCCCUCUCAAAAGUUGAUCUCUUCUUUCACUCAAAGAGUUCCUCUUCGUAUCUUCUUCAAUUUCUCAGAGUUGUUCAAUCCUCUCAAAAUCUUUUAGAUGGCUGUAGAAAUUGAUAUCGAUGUCGAUUUGAUUUUGCCGAAGCAUUUGACAGUCGGAAGUGUAGAGUUCAUCAAUGACUGGAAAAGGAGACUGAAGAUUGAUCCUGAUUGUGUUGUAGUCCUCGUUGACGAUUCUUUUAUUAAAUGGACUAUACAGCACAAGAAAGAACCGGUUCCCUUGAUUCAAGCACUUAUCGGCGUUGCUAAGGUUUCGUUAAAAACAACAAAGUGUACCAUAGAAAGUAUUUCUUCGAGGUUCUGGAAGCACCAUCGAAACUCUCAGAUUGCAGACAACAUGGUUUGUAUACCACGUGUUUGCAAUCACCCUCCGCACUAUCUCAGUGCGGAGGCGUGCAUGAGAGAGGUGCUGUCUCUUCCAAAGUAUAACAAAUAUUUUUUCGCAACCCUUAGGAAGGAAGUCUAUGAAAGCGCAGCAGUGAGAAAUGCUCGGUUUAAGCCAGUCAUAACCGUGAUAGAUGGUGCCAUGGUUAUUAAUGAGGUUAACCUCUUCAGAAAGCAUGGCGUUGUUGUUAGACAACGUGUUAAAGACGAGAAGAUCUUGCAGUUUGUUGAUGACAAGCCUUCUAAGCAGUUGAAGUUUGUGAGAGAAUGUUUUGGUCUGUUUGGAACCGCAUACGUGUUGUGCGACGCUUCCUUUUUGGUUUGGGCUGUGGAUGAAGACAUUGAACCCAUAGUUAUUAAAGGCGCUAGGCGCACUCAAGGUGCUUAGGCUCCGCCUAGGGACUAGGCGAAAGGCGCAAAAAAAGCGUGGGCCCGAGAAAAAAAAAGCGCACUAACAUAUAAAAAUUUAAAAUACAUUAUGUAAUGGAAAAUAACAUCUUUUUCACAUACCAAAAUAUUCUAAUACCAUAAUCUUCAACAAAAAAGUACCAAAUCGGAUGUUUGACAACACAAGAUUUCAAUCAAUAAAAAAAACAAACAAACUUUAUAAGUUGGUAAAACAGAGAACUAAAGGUCAACCUAGUUAUCUCUAUACAGAAAUUAAUUGAGAAAUACUAAGUUUGAUAAGAAAAACUUUAUAUGCAGAAUUAAAAUGAAAACAAAAACACUACAUUGUGAAUGCAAAAUCAGAACUAAAUCAGAAAUAACCAGCUGGCAAAAACAAUAUCAAAUCAGAAAUACACUGCAGAAUAUGAGGAGUUUACAAAUUAUAAAAAUAAUAUCCCUAUUUAUCAGGAACAUGUAGAAUUAAAUCAUAAAUAUACUAAUUUGGAUUUGAAGAAUUCGAACUGAGAUCUGGAUUAUUAGAGAUAUAAUCGGCUGGAAAUCCCUAUAAAUACUCCAGAACAUCAGGAAUCUACGAAUUAAAAAAAUGUUUAUCAGCAAUUCAGUAUUAAUUGCGCUAAAAUUACCUAGGAAUAAGGAGCGCAAUGAAUGCGCUUUGCUCAAAAAAUUCGCCUAGGCGCCAAAAGCGUGCGCUUUUAAUAACUAUGAUUGAACCUAUAAAUGUCUUAUGUGGGUGUCUUCGUGUCUACAACAUCGUACUCUUGACUACUGAAGGCGUGUUGGAUGAAAUCAGAGUUUGUAUCAAGGACAAAUGGAGUCCGGUUUGCCACAGCGUUUUAAACAUGUUAUCUUCUUGCUAUCAUGGGGAUGAUCUAGAGGAUCGUCAAGCAGUUCCCAUCAUUAUUGACAGAAUAGAGUGUGUCAAGCAGGUGUUGAAAGACUCGUUUCAUGAUAACUUCAUUCUCGCAACGUUUGAACAAGACGCUUAUGAGGAUAUAACAAAUACUCGUGCAACACCGUUCAUAUCAAUGGAUGACAGCGUGAUUCGUGUUUUGCCAAUUCCAGACGAUCAAAGGGCAUUUUUUGAAGAGUUUAAAAGAAAUAUGAUUCUUUAGUGAUGAUCAUCAGGGGACUGGUUUUUAAAUACAGAGAAGAAGGCUUGACUAUGCUGUUGAUGUUUUUGAAGAGACAGACGAAGAAGGCUUGACAUUAAUGUUGAUGUUUUUGAACAAAUUGUUACGUUUCUUGAGAGUUGCCUACCCUUAAAUACGUAGCUUAACUAAAACCAGAAUUUAGAUACAUAGCUGAACAUAUUGAAGAAACACACGAUCCCCUUAUAUUCCUAUCCUAUAUAGAAAUUGCUCUUUUAAGUGCUA